rnacentral:misc_RNA from 1 species
GAUGAAGAACGCAGCGAAAUGCGAUAAGUAAUGCGAAUUGCAGAAUCCGUGAGUCACCGAAUCUUUGAACGCACAUUGCGCCCUUUGGUAUUCCGAAGGGCAUGCCUGUUCGAGCGUCAUUAUCACCACUCAAGCCCGGCUUGCUGUUGUGGCAGCGCAGCCGGUCAACCGGCUACGCUCCACCCAAAGAUAAUGACGGCGUCUGCGAGGACUCCUGUACAUUGAGCUUUCGGGCACGUACAUGGCUAGAAGUCCAGGCGCCGGUCGACGUCCUCCGGGACACUUUUUACCAAGGUUGACCUCGGAUCAGGUAGGGAUACCCGCUGAACUUAAGCAUAUCAAUAAGCGGAGGA